rnacentral:rRNA from 1 species
AACGAACGCUGGCGGCGCGCCUAAUACAUGCAAGUCGAGCGAGAAGACGUAGCAAUACGUUUGUAAAGCGGCGAACGGGUGAGGAAUACAUGGGUAACCUACCCUCGAGUGGGGAUAACUAGCCGAAGGUUAGCUAAUACCGCGUACGCUCCUUGGACUUCGGUUCAGGGAGGAAAGCGAUACCGUGGGUAUCGCGCUCUUGGAUGGGCUCAUGUCCUAUCAGCUUGUUGGUGAGGUAACGGCUCACCAAGGCUUCGACGGGUAGCUGGUCUGAGAGGACGAUCAGCCACACUGGCACUGCGACACGGGCCAGACUCCUACGGGAGGCAGCAGUAAGGAAUAUUGCGCAAUGGGCGAAAGCCUGACGCAGCGACGCCGCGUGGGGGA